CGCCUUGCGCUAACAGCUGAGCCUAAGUCGGAUUAGCUAGUUGGUAGGGCAAAGGCCUACCAAGGCGACGAUCUGUAGCGGGUCUGAGAGGAUGAUCCGCCACACUGGGACUGAGACACGGCCCAGACUCCUACGGGAGGCAGCAGUGGGGAAUAUUGGACAAUGGGGGGAACCCUGAUCCAGCCAUGCCGCGUGUGUGAAGAAGGCCUUUUGGUUGUAAAGCACUUUAAGCGAGGAGGAGGCUACCUGGAUUAAUACUUUAGGAUAGUGGACGUUACUCGCAGAAUAAGCACCGGCUAACUCUGUGCCAGCAGCCGCGGUAAUACAGAGGGUGCGAGCGUUAAUCGGAUUUACUGGGCGUAAAGCGUGCGUAGGCGGCCAAUUAAGUCAAAUGUGAAAUCCCCGAGCUUAACUUGGGAAUUGCAUUCGAUACUGGUUGGCUAGAGUAUGGGAGAGGAUGGUAGAAUUCCAGGUGUAGCGGUGAAAUGCGUAGAGAUCUGGAGGAAUACCGAUGGCGAAGGCAGCCAUCUGGCCUAAUACUGACGCUGAGGUACGAAAGCAUGGGGAGCAAACAGGAUUAGAUACCCUGGUAGUCCAUGCCGUAAACGAUGUCUACUAGCCGUUGGGGCCNUUGAGGCUUUUAGUGGCGCAGCUUAACGCGAUAAAGUAGACCGCCUGGGGGAGUACGGGUCGCAAAGACUAAAAACUCAAAAUGAAUUUGACGGGGGGCCCGCACAAAGCGGUGGGAGCAUGUGGGUUUA
rnacentral:rRNA from 1 species